rnacentral:rRNA from 1 species
UCGGGUUGUAAAGCACUUUUGUCCGGAAAGAAAUCCUUGGCUCUAAUACAGUCGGGGGAUGACGGUACCGGAAGAAUAAGCACCGGCUAACUACGUGCCAGCAGCCGCGGUAAUACGUAGGGUGCGAGCGUUAAUCGGAAUUACUGGGCGUAAAGCGUGCGCAGGCGGUUUGCUAAGACCGAUGUGAAAUCCCCGGGCUCAACCUGGGAACUGCAUUGGUGACUGGCAGGGCUAGAGUAUGGCAGAGGGGGGUAGAAUUCCACGUGUAGCAGUGAAAUGCGUAGAGAUGUGGAGGAAUACCGAUGGCGAAGGCAGCCCCUGGGCCAAUACUGACGCUCAUGCACGAAAGCGUGGGGAGCAAACAGGAUUAGAUACCCUGGUAGUCCACGCCCUAAACGAUGUCAACUAGUUGUUGGGGAUUCAUUUCCUUAGUAACGUAGCUAACGCGUGAAGUUGACCGCCUGGGGAGUACGGUCGCAAGAUUAAAACUCAAAGGAAUUGACGGGGACCCGCACAAGCGGUGGAUGAUGUGGAUUAAUUCGAUGCAACGCGAAAAACCUUACCUACCCUUGACAUGGACGGAAGGCCGCUG